GUCGGUUUGGCCGAGUGGUUAAGGCGACAGACUAGAAUGGUGCAGUAAUGCCCAAAGCCAUCUGUUGGGGUUUCCCCGCACAGGUUCAAAUCCUGUAGCCGACG